rnacentral:rRNA from 6 species
UAACCUGCGGAAGGAUCAUUG